GCUGCGCUCCCAUUGUGGACAGAGGCUAUUCAUCUGGUCAGCAGCCUGUAGCUUCAAGCAAGAUGCGUUUUGUAGAGCUCAGCAUAUUAUUAGCCGUUUGUUUAGGAGGUGCCCAAUCUCAAGGGUUUCUGACAGAGACUGGAGGGGAUGUGAAGAAGCCGGGAGAGACCCUCAGGCUGAGCUGUAAAACCUCCGGGUUCACCUUCAGUAGCCACAACAUGCACUGGUUCCGGCAGCAGCCCGGGAGGGGGUUCGAGUGGGUCGCAAGAAUUAGCAAUGACGCUACCCAGACCUGGUACUCCUCAUCGGUAAAGGGUCGGUUCACCAUCUCCCGGGACAAUUCCCAGAACCUCCUUAACCUGAACAUGACAAGCCUCAAACCAGAGGACACGGCGAGGUAUUACUGCGCUAGAGAAAACACCGUGAUCGGAGUGAAUGAGGAGCUCGUCCAGUAACUGUGGA